UGGGGAAUUUUGCACAAUGGGGGAAACCCUGAUGCAGCGACGCCGCGUGAUUUAGAAGGCCUUCGGGUUGUAAAAAUCUUUUCUAUGGGAAGAAAAUGACAGUACCAUAGGAAUAAGGACCGGCUAAUUACGUGCCAGCAGCCGCGGUAAUACGUAAGGUCCGAGCGUUGUCCGGAAUCAUUGGGCGUAAAGGGUACGUAGGCGGGUAAGCAAGUUAGAAGUGAAAUCCUAUAGCUCAAUUAUAGUAAGCUUUUAAAACUGCUCAUCUUGAGGUAUGGAAGGGAAAGUGGAAUUCCUAGUGUAGCGGUGAAAUGCGCAGAUAUUAGGAGGAAUACCGGUGGCGAAGGCGACUUUCUGGCCAUAACCUGGCGCUGAGGUACGAAAGCGUGGGUAGCAAACAGG
rnacentral:rRNA from 1 species